GGGGUUGUGGCUCAAUGGUAGAGCACUUGCUUAACAUGCGUGAGGCACUGGGUUCGAUCCUCAGCACCA
rnacentral:tRNA from 1 species